UAAUUGAAGAGUUUGAUCAUGGCUCAGAUUGAACGCUGGCGGCAGGCUUAACACAUGCAAGUCGAGCGGUAGCACAAGAGAGCUUGCUCUCUGGGUGACGAGCGGCGGACGGGUGAGUAAUGUCUGGGAAACUGCCUGAUGGAGGGGGAUAACUACUGGAAACGGUAGCUAAUACCGCAUAACGUCGCAAGACCAAAGAGGGGGACCUUCGGGCCUCUUGCCAUCAGAUGUGCCCAGAUGGGAUUAGCUAGUAGGUGGGGUAAUGGCUCACCUAGGCGACGAUCCCUAGCUGGUCUGAGAGGAUGACCAGCCACACUGGAACUGAGACACGGUCCAGACUCCUACGGGAGGCAGCAGUGGGGAAUAUUGCACAAUGGGCGCAAGCCUGAUGCAGCCAUGCCGCGUGUGUGAAGAAGGCCUUCGGGUUGUAAAGCACUUUCAGCGAGGAGGAAGGUGGUGAACUUAAUACGUUCAUCAAUUGACGUUACUCGCAGAAGAAGCACCGGCUAACUCCGUGCCAGCAGCCGCGGUAAUACGGAGGGUGCAAGCGUUAAUCGGAAUUACUGGGCGUAAAGCGCACGCAGGCGGUUUGUUAAGU
rnacentral:rRNA from 1 species